AUUAAAUCAGUCUGAAUCUAAAGGCAAUUGUUGGAAGCGAUUUCAUCGUUUUUUACUUGGAUAACUGUGGUAAUUCUAUAGCUAAUACACGCCAAUGAUGGUCGUCCUAAAUCCUCCCCGGAGGAGAUGACCGCUAUUGUUACAUGCAAAGCACUGAAUUCUUAGGGAUUCAAGGAAAACGGAUGAAUCACAACAAAUUAGCCGAGCGCAUGGUCUUGCACCGACGCUGUACCUUUCGAGCGACUGCCUUAUCAGCUUUCGAUUGUAGGGUAUUGGCCUACAAUGGCGAUAACGGGUAACGGGGAAUCAGGGUUCGAUUCCGGAGAGGGAGCCUGAGAAACGGCUACCACAUCUAAGGAAGGCAGCAGGCACGCAAAUUACCCACUCUCAGCACGGGGAGGUAGUGACAAUAAAUAACGAUGCGUGUCUCUUUCUGAGGCCUCGCAAUCGGAAUGGAUUUAUACUUAAAUCACUGAAAGAGGAGCAAUUGGAGGGCAAGUCUGGUGCCAGCAGCCGCGGUAACUCCAGCUUCAGUAGCGUAAGUUAACGUUGCUGCGGUUAAAAAGCUCGUAGUUGGACCUUGGGUGCGGACGGGCGAUUCACCCUUCUGGGAACUAGCGGUUGAGAGUUCACUCGAUGCCAAUAGACCCGUUGGCUGAUAUCAACGCCCGAUUCAUCCGUCACUGAAUGAAAGAUUUGUCGGUUUAUGCGCGUGUUGGGGUGUCUUCACGGGUGUUCUGGCUCGCGUGUCCGACAAUGUCACUUUGCAAAAAUGAGAGCGCUUAAAGCAGGCUUGAUGCCAUGAAUAUUGAUGCAUAGUACGAGAGAAAAGGACUUUGUCUCUGUUUGGUGCACAGAAGGACAAAGUAAUGAUUAAGAGAGACAGACGGGGACGUUCGUACUGCGGCGUUAGAGGUGAAAUUCUUGGAUCGCUGCAAGACGAACAAUCGCGAAGGCAUUCGUCCAGAACGCUUUUCUUAAUCAAGAACGAAAGUUAGAGGAUCGAAGGCGAUCAGAUACCGCCCUAGUUCUAACCGUAAACGAUGCUGACCGGCUAUUAGUCGGUGUUAUACCCAAACACCCGAUUAGCAACCCCCGGGAAACCAGAGUUUUUGUGUUCCGGGGGGAUGUAUGGUUGCAAGGCUGAAACUUAAAGGAAUUGACGGAAGGGCACCACCAGGAGUGGAGCCUGCGGCUUAAUUUGACUCAACACGGGGAAACUUACCAGGACAGGACAUCGGAAGGACUGACAGAUUUGAAGCUCUUUCUCGAUUCGAUGGGUAGUGGUGCAUGGCCGUUCUUAGUUGGUGGAGUGAUUUGUCUGGUUAAUUCCGAUAACGAACGAGAUUUUGCCCUGCUAAUUAGUCUGCAGAUUAUCUCGGGGUCGUUCCGCUCGUCUUGCGGCUUGUGGGGCGUCCCGAAACUUCAUGGCUUGGUUAUGCUCAGCGGAACCGAUCCUCGGGUGUGGUGUCCUUCGUUUGGGUUCUGCCCUUGCGCUGGUUCUGCGGUUCGAGUUCGGAGCUCUCGUUGGUGUAUCUCGCCUAAUGAGGUGUCUGCAUUUUGUCUUCUUAGAGGGAUCGGCAUUGUAUAGUUGCACGAGAUUGAGCAAUAACAGGUCUGUGAUGCCCUUAGAUGUCUUGGGCUGCACGCGCGCUACAAUGGAGAGUUCAACGCGUUUUCUGCCUGCUCCGAGAGGAGUUGGGAACCCGCUGAAAUCUCUCCUCAAUUGGGAUUGCGGCUUGCAAUUGUUCCUCAUGAACGAGGAAUUCCUGGUAAGCGUGAAUCAUCAGUUCACGAUGAUUACGUCCCUGCCCUUUGUACACACCGCCCGUCGCUACUACCGAUUGAAUGAUUUAGUGAGGCCGUUGGACUGGCGCCCUAGAAUGGGGAUUCUGUCUCUUAUCGUGGGUCGACGGGAAGAUGUCCAAACUGGAUCAUUUAGA
rnacentral:rRNA from 1 species